GCGAGGGUUGCCGAGCGGCCAAAGGCGGCGGGCUUAAGACCCGCUCUCGUAGGAGUCCAUGGGUUCGAAUCCCAUCCCUCGCA
rnacentral:tRNA from 2 species